GCGUUGGUGGUUUAGUGGUAAAAUUCAUCGUUGCCAAGGGUUGUAGGUCCCAAAGAGAGUAUCUUCCGGUGCCCUCCCAAAGCCUCAACACCAAACUCGAUGAGCCCCGGGUUCGAUUCCCGGCCGACGCA
rnacentral:tRNA from 1 species